GAUGAAGAACGUAGCGAAAUGCGAUAAGUAAUGUGAAUUGCAGAAUUCAGUGAAUCAUCGAAUCUUUGAACGCACAUUGCGCCCGCCAGUAUUCUGGCGAGCAUGCCUGUUCGAGCGUCAUUUCAACCAUCAAGCCCCAGGCUUGUGUUGGAGCCCUGCGGCUGCCGCAGCCUCCCAAAACCAGUGGCGGGCUCGCUAUCACACCGAGUGCAGUAGUUUACUCUUCGCUCAGGGCGUGUGGCGGGUGCUAGCCGUGAAACCCCCAACUUCUUAAGGUUGACCUCGGAUCAGGUAGGAAUACCCGCUGAACUUAAGCAUAUCAAUAAGCGGAGGA
rnacentral:misc_RNA from 1 species